rnacentral:rRNA from 1 species
GACGAACGCUGGCGGCGUGCUUAACACAUGCAAGUCGAACGGAAAGGCCCUGCUUUUGUGGGGUGCUCGAGUGGCGAACGGGUGAGUAACACGUGAGUAACCUGCCCUUGACUUUGGGAUAACUUCAGGAAACUGGGGCUAAUACCGGAUAUGAGCUUCUGCUGCAUGGUGGUGGUUGGAAAGUUUCGGCGGUUGGGGCUGGACUCGCGGGUUAUCCGCUUGUUGGUGAGGUAGUGGCUUACCAAGGCUUUGACGGGUAGCCGGCCUGGGAGGGUUGCCGGCGACCAGGGGACUGAGAGACGGACCAGAAUCCUACGGGCGGCAGAAGUGGGAAGUAUUGCGCAAUGGGGGGAAGCCUGAUGCAGCAACGCCGGGAGCGGGAUGACGGCCUUCGGGUGGUGAACAGCUUUCGCCGGAGACGAAGCGUGAGUGACGGUAAUGAGUAAAGAAGCACCGGCUAACUACGUG